rnacentral:rRNA from 1 species
UAAUUGAUGGGGUUAGCGGCAACGCGAAGCUCUUGAUCGAAGCCCCGGUAAAACGGCCGUAACUAUAACGGUCCUAAGGUAGCGAAAUUCCUUGUCGGGUAAGUUCCGACCUGCACGAAUGGCGUAAUGAUGGCCAGGCUGUCUCCACCCGAGACUCAGUGAAAUUGAACUCGCUGUGAAGAUGCAGUGUACCCGCGGCAAGACGGAAAGACCCCGUGAACCUUUACUAUAGCUUGACACUGAACAUUGAGCCUUGAUGUGUAGGAUAGGUGGGAGGCUUUGAAGUGUGGACGCCAGUCUGCAUGGAGCCGACCUUGAAAUACCACCCUUUAAUGUUUGAUGUUCUAACGUUGGCCCGUAAUCCGGGUUGCGGACAGUGUCUGGUGGGUAGUUUGACUGGGGCGGUCUCCUCCUAAAGAGUAACGGAGGAGCACGAAGGUUGGCUAAUCCUGGUCGGACAUCAGGAGGUUAGUGCAAUGGCAUAAGCCAGCUUGACUGCGAGCGUGACGGCGCGAGCAGGUGCGAAAGCAGGUCAUAGUGAUCCGGUGGUUCUGAAUGGAAGGGCCAUCGCUCAACGGAUAAAAGGUACUCCGGGGAUAACAGGCUGAUACCGCCCAAGAGUUCAUAUCGACGGCGGUGUUUGGCACCUCGAUGUCGGCUCAUCACAUCCUGGGGCUGAAGUAGGUCCCAAGGGUAUGGCUGUUCGCCAUUUAAAGUGGUACGCGAGCUGGGUUUAGAACGUCGUGAGACAGUUCGGUCCCUAUCUGCCGUGGGCGCUGGAGAACUGAGGGGGGCUGCUCCUAGUACGAGAGGACCGGAGUGGACGCAUCACUGGUGUUCGGGUUGUCAUGCCAAUGGCACUGCCCGGUAGCUAAAUGCGGAAGAGAUAAGUGCUGAAAGCAUCUAAGCACGAAACUUGCCCCGAGAUGAGUUCUCCCUGACUCCUUGAGAGUCCUGAAGGAACGUUGAAGACGACGACGUUGAUAGGCCGGGUGUGUAAGCGCAGCGAUGCGUUGAGCUAACCGGUACUAAUGAACCGUGAGGCUUAACCUU